UAUAUUUGCCGCUGAAUAGAAAUACUAUUCGUACAUAAUAAUCAUUGAAAUAAUAUUGGAAUG
rnacentral:ncRNA from 1 species